AGCUGGUCGUUGCCAGGGGACACCGGUGAGGCUGGCAGUGUUGCCGAGGGAUAGAUAUUAACCUGUGAAAAUUGCUGUACCUUUAUCACCAAAGGGACAAAGUGGGAGAGUCUCUGGCCUGUAGUUCCUGUUUGGAAUUCUGUGAAGCUGGCAGAAAGUACCAAUGGAACUUCAUCAAUGCCCAGCCUUUGUAACGCACACAGGAACAGCAAGAGUCAGGGUGCUCGAAUUUGGACAUCCUAGUUUGCUAAAUCCCAGUCCGGUUGUUAAAGAUGAAACUGGUCUCCUUAUUGAAGAAUAUCUUUCUCCCUCAAAACUGGUGAGAAAUUUAAAUUAAAUAUUUUGUGGAAGGAAUUCUGUGCAGUGAUUUUUGAAGCCAACAAAAUGAAUUGUGGAUAUAAAAAUAACAUGUUGGAGCUGUCAGCUGUUUUGGGAAUUUCUGUACUAGGUGUGAAAAAUUGGAGAUCCACAGUG